UUGUUGUUGUUAUCUCUGCUGUUGUACUUUCUGGUGUUGUUGGCUCAGUUGUUGUGAUAUCUGGUGUUGUGGUAGCUGUGGUGGUGCUUUCUGCUGUUGUAGUAGUAUCUGUUGUGGUGCUUUCUGUUGUUGUGGUUUCGGUUGUUGUAAUUUCUGUUGUUGUAGUGUCUGCUGUUAUACUUUCAGGUGUUGUGAUUCCGGAGGUUGUACUUUCUAUUGUUGUCUCAGUUGUGGUGCUGUCUGUUAUUAUUGUUGUCUCUGCUGUUGUACUUGCUAAAGUUGUGGUACCAGUGGUUGUACUUUCUAUUGUUGUCUCAGUUGUGGUGCUUUCAGUUGUUGUUGAAGUUUCUGCUGUUGUACUUGCUAAAGUUGUGGUAUCGGUGGUGG
ensembl:lncRNA